rnacentral:rRNA from 1 species
CACUACGAGUUUGAUCCGUGGCUACAGGACGAACGCUGGCGGCGUGCUUAACACAUGCAAGUCGAACGAGACGAUUUAGAAGCUUGCUUUUAUUGAGUCGAGUGGCAAACGGGUGAGUAACGCGUAGACAACCUGCCGCAAAGAUGGGGACAACAGUCCGAAAGGACUGCUAAUACCGAAUGUUGUAUCUCCUCCGCAUGGAAGAGAUAUUAAAGAUGGCCUCGCGUCUGAUUAGCUAGUUGGUGAGGUAACGGCCCACCAAGGCGACGAUCAGUAGCCGGACUGAGAGGUUGAACGGCCACAUUGGGACUGAGAUACGGCCCAGACUCCUACGGGAGGCAGCAGUGGGGAAUAUUGGUCAAUGGGCGCAGGCCUGAACCAGCCAAGUCGCGUGAGGGAAGACGGUCCUACGGAUUGUAAACCUCUUUUGUCGGGGAGUAACGUGCGGGACGCGUCCCGUAUUGAGAGUACCCGAAGAAAAAGCAUCGGCUAACUCCGUG